GUGAGGAAUAUUGCGCAAUGGAGGCAACUCUGACGCAGCCAUGCCGCGUGCAGGAAGAAGGCGCUACGCGUUGUAAACUGCUUUUAACCGGGAAGAAACCCCAGGACGUGUCCUGGGUUGACGGUACCGGAGGAAUAAGCACCAGCUAACUUCGUGCCAGCAGCCGCGGUAAUACGAAGGGUGCAAGCGUUAUCCGGAUUCAUUGGGUUUAAAGGGUGCGUAGGCGGAGCGUUAAGUCAGUGGUGAAAUCCUGCAGCUUAACUGUAGACUUGCCAUUGAGACUGGCGCUCUUGAGUGCGCUUGAAGUGGGCGGAAUGUGCCGUGUAGCGGUGAAAUGCUUAGAUAUGGCACAGAACUCCAAUUGCGAAGGCAGCUCACUAAGGCGAUACUGACGCUGAGGCACGAAAGCGUGGGGAUCGAACAGGAUUAGAAACCCGAGUAGUCC
rnacentral:rRNA from 1 species